GCGGCCGUAGUCUAGCCUGGUCUAGGACACCGGCCUCCCGAGCCGAUGACCCGGGUUCAAAUCCCGGCGGCCGCACCA
rnacentral:tRNA from 2 species